rnacentral:rRNA from 1 species
UGCUAGUCGCACGAGUUCAUACUCGUGGCAUAUAGCUCAGUAACACGUGGCCAAACUACCCUGUGGACCAGCAUAACCUCGGGAAACUGAGGCUAAUUCUGGAUAUCGCCCGCAUCCUGGAGUGGAGCGGGCGUGAAACGUUCCGGCGCCACAGGAUGUGGCUGCGGCCGAUUAGGUAGACGGUGGGGUAACGGCCCACCGUGCCCAUAAUCGGUACGGGUGAUGAGAGUCAGAACCCGGAGACGGUAUCUGAGACAAGAUUCCGGGCCCUACGGGGCGCAGCAGGCGCGAAACCUUUACACUGCACGACAGUGCGAUAGGGGGACUCCGAGUGCGAGGGCAUAGAGCCCUCGCUUUUCUGCACCGUAAGGUGGUGCAGGAAGAAGGGCUGGGCAAGACCGGUGCCAGCCGCCGCGGUAAUACCGGCAGCCCAAGUGAUGGCCGAUAUUAUUGGGCCUAAAGCGUCCGUAGCUGGCCGGACAAGUCCGUUGGGAAAUCCGCACGCUUAACGUGCGGGCGUCCAGCGGAAACUGUCCGGCUUGGGACCGGAAGACCCGAGGGGUACGUCCGGGGUAGGAGUGAAAUCCCGUAAUCUC